AGAAGGGAGAGAAUUUGAAGGCUAAAAGCAGGAAACUUGUGGGUUGAGAUAAAGACAAAUUAAUGGAAUAUCCUUUUGCUCACUUUGGGUCACCUGUCCUGGCUGUGUCUCCUCCCAAGCACCCCCAACUUCCUCACCAGUGUGGCAGUACAAAAAACAGAAAAUGCUUUGGUUCUGUGAAAGUCCUGCUCAGCAACAACAAAAAUAUCUCUGUAUUGUCAACCCUGUGUUGUCCAAAACAGAGCCCUGCACCAGCCACUGUGAAGAAAGUUAACUCUACCCCAGCUGAAACCAGCACAAGCAGUAAUAGGCAUCUGAGGGAGGCCACAGCAAUCACCAACAAUGAGAUGAGAUGAUGGCAUACAGCUGGGAACUUCAAGCUGAAUUAGCACUGCAAAAUUUGGAUCCUGCCAGUCCCAGACAGCCUUCAUCAAAACUGUGCUGGAGCAAUCAAGGAGCAGAUUGGGACCUACCUUGCAGAGAACAAAAGGGGAUGAGGAAUCUACUUACACCAUUAUAUUGACCUUCUGCUUUGACAAGCUGGAAAUUCACAAAAUGCCUGUGACAUUCUUGCAAGACCACAAGCAAUGAGCACAAAAAGGACAAGCCUGAAUCUCAAAUGGGAACAAAGCUAUAACUCAACCAGCUGGAGUUGAAAAAGGUCACUGGCUGAGCUCUAGAAAGACUUGCAUGUUUUGAUGUUUGUGGAAUAUCCUCAGGUUCCCUAGCAGGACACACUGCUGGGACAAGAGCACGCCAGAGCAAGUUUAUGAUGCUGAGGCAUCUCCAGGAUUUGACUGCAGCAGAAAUACCUUGUGGUUUCUCUACAUCUGCGUGAAAUUAGUAAGUCCUGGAACACAUGAAAAUUAGUAAUAAAAAUAAAAGCUUUCCUUCCACCCCCCGUCACCUCCUCCCACUGACACAAUUUAAAGAUUUAGAAUCAGUUUGUAUCGUGGCCAGAGAUUGAAGUUACGAUUGUAAUGUUUCCACUUAGGACAAGGAAAUUGAAGUAGAGCAAUUAAUCAAUAACAAUAUGGGAAAGUAAAGGCUCAGACAGUCACUUAGAGCUUGCAUGCUUAGCUGCAUAAGGGGAAUUUUAGAAAACUUCUGUCUUUUACUGCCCUUUUAAGUUUUAUAUUACCAACUUUCAAGUACAGAGAGAAGUCAUGCUUUGUGCUGCCCUACUUCACCCAACAUUAUAAACCCAUUCCUUUGCAGGGAGCGGAUAUUUAAUUAUGAAUAAUCCCAAAGUGUUUCACUGAGUGUUGUACAAACUGUGCACUCAGGCCCAUUUCAUACAGUCAUGAAAUGCCAUCAUCCCUCAGGUGAAACAAAGCAACUCUUCAGCAGCACAAAGCAAAGCUGCACAGCAAUUUGGGGAAGGAAGUGAGCAAUAAUGGAUUCAUUUGAAACUGCAGGGGGAUUUUAACUAUGCAGAAUGCAAUUACCAGAACUGGAGUUUAUCCAGGACACUGGGGUUAAGACCCUAUCUAUUACAAAAGAUGCCACAGAACUUCCAGCAUCCUUCCCCUCAUUUCCUAUGUGUUACUCACUGGGCUUCUAAGUGCACACUGAGAGAGGCCAGUCCUG